AUUUCUUAUGAUUGAAAAUUGCUAGAAGUCCUAUUGGUUUGGUUAGAACUUGUCCCUCAGUGUAGGGAUGAGAGAAUCCUUAGUUGGACAUUCAAAGAUAUAAUAGCAGGGACAACGAAAUGUGUACAGAGGAUUGUAUAGUGGUUGUUACUAGUUUAGGAUCGAGGCAUAAUUGAUGAUUAAAUCAAUAAUUGUGUUGUGCCGUAGUGUUUCAUGGUCAUUUAUAUCUCCUUAUGCGAGCUUUGAAAUUCUGCAUAGGCUAACUUUGCUAGCCAUUUCAGUGGAUUUUUUUGCAUAGGCUAACUUCACUGGUGUAUUCACUAAUCAAGGUUAAUACAUAGAUUCAAGGAGUAAUGUCGUUUCGCUGAUUAAUCAUGUACAUUAUCAAGUAUUCAAUUUGCAUUUCCUUAAGUCUAAGAUAAUGUUGCGAAAGCAACUCGGGUCGCAUCAAGAUUACACUGUGUCUUGCGGAGGCUUCGCGAGUCUCAUUGUGUUUUCGCUCGAAGGGCACUGGAUAUGGGAAGUGGCAUCCUAUCACCUAACCACGUAAGAGGAUCACCGGAUAGAGAUAACAAUACAUAUCAUGCUUGUUAUACUCAACUAUUGCUAGAAUUUAUCAUAGUUAUUUCCUUUUAUUAUGUUGAGUGGAUGUAAAAUAUUGCUCCUUGAAAUUUUAAUACAUUUUA